CUCGUGCCGUGAGGUGUCGGGUUAAGUCCCAUAACGAGCGCAACCCUUACUGUUAGUUGCCAGCGGGUCAAGCCGGGAACUCUAACGGGACUGCCACCGUAAGGUGAGAGGAAGGUGGGGAUGACGUCAAAUCAGCACGGCCCUUAUGUCCAGGGCUACACACGUGUUACAAUGGUCGGUACAAAGGGCAGCUACACCGCGAGGUGAUGCUAAUCUCUAAAGCCGGUCUCAGUUCGGAUCGAAGUCUGCAACCCGACUUCGUGAAGUUGGAUUCGCUAGUAAUCGCGCAUCAGCCAUGGCGCGGUGAAUACGUUCCCGGGCCUU
rnacentral:rRNA from 1 species